rnacentral:piRNA from 1 species
UAGACACAGAGCGCUGAUUGGUGGGUUUAA